rnacentral:rRNA from 1 species
UAGGGAAUAUUGCAGAAUGGGCGCAAGCCUGAUGCAGCAACGCCGCGUGGGCGAUUGAAGGCCUUCGGGUUGUAAAGCCCUUUUGCGCGGGAAGAGGAAGGACGGUACCGCGCGAAUAAGCCUCGGCUAACUACGUGCCAGCAGCCGCGGUAAAACGUAGGAGGCGAGCGUUAUCCGGAUUUACUGGGCGUAAAGCGCGUGCAGGCGGCCCGGCAAGUUGGCUGUGAAAGCCCCCGGCUCAACCGGGGGAGGUCGGUCAAAACUGCCGGUGCUAGAGGAUGGGAGAGGGAGAUGGAAUUCCGGGUGUAGUGGUGAAAUGCGUAGAGAUCCGGAGGAACACCAGUGGCGAAAGCGAUCUUCUGGCCCAUCACUGACGCUCAGACGCGAAAGCUAGGGGAGCGAACGGG